UACAGGGGGUGCAAACGUUGCUCGGAAUUAUUGGGCGUAAAGCGCGCGUAGGCGGCUACUUAAGUCGGAUGUGAAAGCCCCUGGCUCAACUGGGGAAGUGCACCCGAAACUGAGUGGCUUGAGUGCGAAAGAGGGUCGCGGAAUUCCCGGUGUAGAGGUGAAAUUCGUAGAUAUCGGGAGGAACACCGGUGGCGAAGGCGGCGACCUGGGUCGACCACUGACGCUGAGGCGCGAAAGCGUGGGGAGCAAACAGG
rnacentral:rRNA from 1 species